rnacentral:rRNA from 1 species
AGUGAACGCUGGCGGUAGGCCUAACACAUGCAAGUCGAACGGCAGCACAGUAAGAGCUUGCUCUUACGGGUGGCGAGUGGCGGACGGGUGAGGAAUACAUCGGAAUCUACUUUUUCGUGGGUGAUAACGUAGGGAAACUUACGCUAAUACCGCAUACGACCUACGGGUGAAAGCAGGGGAUCUUCGGACCUUGCGCGAUUGAAUGAGCCGAUGUCGGAUUAGCUAGUUGGCGGGGUAAAGGCCCACCAAGGCGACGAUCCGUAGCUGGUCUGAGAGGAUGAUCAGACACACUGGAACUGAGACACGGUCCAGACUCCUACGGGAGGUAGCAGUGGGGAAUAUUGGACAAUGGGCGAAAGCCUGAUCCAGCCAUACCGCGUGGGUGAAGAAGGACUUCGGGUUGUAAAGCCCUUUUGUUGGGAAAGAAAAGCAGAAGGUUAAUACCCCGCUGUUCUGACGGUACCCAAAGAAUAAGCACCGGCUAACUUCGUG